rnacentral:rRNA from 1 species
AUGCAGGAGGGAAGAGUUGUUUCAUAUGCCUCACGACAGCUUAAGCCCCAUGAGUUGAAUUAUGCUACACAUGAUUUCGAAUUAGCAGCCGUAGUGCAUGCAUUGAAGACAUGGAGACAUUUUCUCAUCGAAAAUCAUUGUGAGGUGUACACGGAUCAUAAGAGUUUGAAGUACAUCUUCACACAGAAGGAGUUGAAUCUCAGGCAAAGGAGAUGGUUGGAGCUCAUCAAGGAUUAUGAUAUGAGAUUGCAUUAUCACCCCGGAAAGGCUAACAUAGUAGCCGAUGCGUUGAGCCGCAAGAGCCAUGUCAACACACUCUUGACCGGAGAGUUACCGAAGGAGUUAGCCGAGGACCUUCGUGAACUAUGUUUGGAGAUAGUUCCGAGAGGCUAUGUUGCAGCAUUGGAGAUUCAGUCGACUUUGAUGGAUAAGAUCAAAGAAGCUCAGAAGACUAACAAGGAGAUUGUCGACAUAAAGGAGAGGAUGAGCAAAGGAAAAUCUAAAGGAUUUCGUGAGGAUGAGCACGAUACCUUAUGGUUUGAAGACCGUGUUUAUGUGCCCAAUGACCCGAAGAUCAGGAAGUUGAUUCUGCAAGAGGCCCAUGAUUCGCCGUACUCGAUUCACCCAGGAAAUACCAAGAUGUAUCUGGAUUAG